rnacentral:piRNA from 1 species
UGCUGAGGGUAUACGACGCCGAUACGAUAUU